CCAGAAGGCCGGACGGCCGCCGCCCUUGCAAAAGGGGGGAGGAAAGUCCGGGCUCCCUGAAAACACGGUGCCGGAUAACGUCCGGGCACGGCGGCCUUGGCCACCGUGACGGCCAGUGCAACAGAGAACAUACCGCCCGCGCAUUUCGGUGCGCAGGUAAGGGUGAAAAGGUGCGGUAAGAGCGCACCGCGUUUCCGGUAACGGAAACGGCAGGGUAAACCCCACCGGGAGCAAGACCAAAUAGGGAAAGCACGCGGGCAACCGCAGGGCCUGUUUUCAGCCUGCUUUCCGGGUCGGUCGCUGGAGGCGCCGGGUAACCGUCGCCCUAGAUGAAUGGCCGUCACCCCGCAAGGGGGACAGAACCCGGCUUACAGGCCUUCUGGUUUU
rnacentral:RNase_P_RNA from 1 species